rnacentral:ncRNA from 1 species
GAUAUAGAGGUUGCAGUCAACAUAAUUAGUCUAACGGAGCCGACAGGUGUGGAUAUUAGACGAAAGGGGCGAUGGCCGAAAUGGUGAAUAUGGUGAUAUUCAUCGUUGGUGUGUAUAUUAAUAGUGUGCAGACUGUCGCGGCAAAAUAGUCGGCUGCGGAGAGCUAUCG